rnacentral:rRNA from 1 species
UACGUAGGGAGCAAGCGUUUGUCCGGAAUCAUUGGGCGUAAAGCGCGCGUAGGCGGCCCCGUAAGUCCGCUGUGAAAGUCAAAGGCUCAACCUUUGAAAGCCGGUGGAAACUGUGGGGCUAGAGUCCGGAAGAGGCGAGUGGAAUUCCUGGUGUAGCGGUGGAAUGCGCAGAUAUCAGGAGGAACACCAAUAGCGAAGGCAGCUCGCUGGGACGGUACUGACGCUAAGGCGCGAAAGCGUGGGGAGCGAACAGG